rnacentral:rRNA from 1 species
ACUCCUACGGGAGGCAGCAGUGGGGAAUAUUGCACAAUGGGCGCAAGCCUGAUGCAGCCAUGCCGCGUGUGUGAAGAAGGCCUUCGGGUUGUAAAGCACUUUCAGUUGUGAGGAAAGGUUAGUCGCUAAUAUCGGCUAGCUGUGACGUUAGCAACAGAAGAAGCACCGGCUAACUCCGUGCCAGCAGCCGCGGUAAUACGGAGGGUGCGAGCGUUAAUCGGAAUUACUGGGCGUAAAGCGCGUGUAGGCGGCCAUUUAAGUCAAAUGUGAAAUCCCGAGCUUAACUUGGGAAUUGCAUUCGAUACUGGAUGGCUAGAGUAUGGGAGAGGAUGGUAGAAUUCCAGGUGUAGCGGUGAAAUGCGUAGAGAUCUGGAGGAAUACCGAUGGCGAAGGCAGCCAUCUGGCCUAAUACUGACGCUGAGGUACGAAAGCAUGGGGAGCAAACAGGAUUAGAUACCCUGGUAGGCUCUG